GUGGCUUAGUGUUUUGAGCAUCCGCCUCGAAUGCAGGAGAUUGCGGGUUCAAAGCCCGGCAGUUUCA